rnacentral:rRNA from 1 species
AGCGAACGCUGGCGGCAGGCCUAACACAUGCAAGUCGAACGAACUCUUCGGAGUUAGUGGCGGACGGGUGAGUAACACGUGGGAACGUGCCUUUUGGUUCGGAAUAACUCAGGGAAACUUGUGCUAAUACCGAAUGUGCCCUUCGGGGGAAAGAUUUAUCGCCAUUAGAGCGGCCCGCGUCUGAUUAGCUAGUUGGUGAGGUAAUGGCUCACCAAGGCGACGAUCAGUAGCUGGUCUGAGAGGAUGACCAGCCACACUGGGACUGAGACACGGCCCAGACUCCUACGGGAGGCAGCAGUGGGGAAUCUUGCGCAAUGGGCGAAAGCCUGACGCAGCCAUGCCGCGUGAAUGAUGAAGGUCUUAGGAUUGUAAAAUUCUUUCACCGGGGACGAUAAUGACGGUACCCGGAGAAGAAGCCCCGGCUAACUUCGUG